rnacentral:rRNA from 1 species
GACGAACGCUGGCGGCGUGCCUAACACAUGCAAGUCGAGCGAAUGAAGUUCCUUCGGGAAUGGAUUUAGCGGCGGACGGGUGAGUAACACGUGGGCAACCUGCCUCAUAGAGGGGAAUAGCCUUCCGAAAGGGAGAUUAAUACCGCAUAAGAUUGUAGUACCGCAUGGUACAGCAAUUAAAGGAGCAAUCCGCUAUGAGAUGGGCCCGCGGCGCAUUAGCUAGUUGGUGAGGUAACGGCUCACCAAGGCGACGAUGCGUAGCCGACCUGAGAGGGUGAUCGGCCACAUUGGGACUGAGACACGGCCCAGACUCCUACGGGAGGCAGCAGUGGGGAAUAUUGCACAAUGGGGGAAACCCUGAUGCAGCAACGCCGCGUGAGUGAUGACGGCCUUCGGGCGUAAAGCUCUGUCUUCAGGACGAUAAUGACGGUACCUGAGGAGGAAGCCACGGCGUAACUACGUGCCAGCAGCCGCGGUAACAUACUCG